UACGGGGGGGGGCAAGCGUUGUUCGGAAUUACUGGGCGUAAAGGGCUCGUAGGUGGCCAACUAAGUCAGACGUGAAAUCCCUCAGCUUAACUGGGGAACUGCGUCUGAUACUGGAUGGCUUGAGUUUGGGAGAGGGAUGCGGAAUUCCAGGUGUAGCGGUGAAAUGCGUAGAUAUCUGGAGGAACACCGGUGGCGAAGGCGGCAUCCUGGACCAAUAUUGACGCUGAGGAGCGAAAGCCAGGGGAGCAAACAGG
rnacentral:rRNA from 1 species